rnacentral:rRNA from 1 species
ACGGGUGCGUAAUACGUAGGAAUCUACCCUAAAGCGGGGGACAACCACGCGAAAGCGUGGCUAAUACCGCAUAAUCUCGAAAGAGCAAAGGUGGCUAGCAAUAGCUAUCACUUUAGGAUGAGCCUACGCCGGAUUAGCUUGUUGGUAGGGUAAUGGCCUACCAAGGCAACGAUCCGUAGCUGGUCUGAGAGGACGACCAGCCACACUGGGACUGAGAUACGGCCCAGACUCCUACGGGAGGCAGCAGUGGGGAAUAUUGGACAAUGGGCGAAAGCCUGAUCCAGCAAUGCCGCGUGUGCGAUGAAGGCCUGCGGGUUGUAAAGCACUUUCGUUGGGGAAGAAAUACUUGCAGCUAAUAUCUGCAAGGGUUGACAUUACCCAAAGAAGAAGCACCGGCUAACUCUGUGCCAGCAGCCGCGGUAAUACAGAGGGUGCAAGCGUUAAUCGGAGUUACUGGGCGUAAAGGGCGCGUAGGCGGAUAUUUAAGUCGAUUGUGAAAUCCCUGGGCUUAACCCAGGAAUUGCAGUCGAUACUGAAUAUCUAGAGUAUGGGAGAGGUGAGUGGAAUUCCCGGU